UGCGCAGGCGGUUAUGUAAGACAGAGGUGAAAUCCCCGGGCUCAACCUGGGAACGGCCUUUGUGACUGCAUGGCUAGAGUACGGUAGAGGGGGAUGGAAUUCCGCGUGUAGCAGUGAAAUGCGUAGAUAUGCGGAGGAACACCGAUGGCGAAGGCAAUCCCCUGGACCUGUACUGACGCUCAUGCACGAAAGCGUGGGGAGCAAACAGGAUUAGAUACCCUGGUAGUCCACGCCCUAAACGAUGUCAACUGAUUGUUGGGUCUUAACUGACUCAGUAACGAAGCUAACGCGUGAAGUUGACCGCCUGGGGAGUACGGCCGCAAGGUUGAA
rnacentral:rRNA from 1 species